rnacentral:rRNA from 1 species
GUACACUCCUACGGGAGGCAGCAGUGGGGAAUUUUGGACAAUGGGCGCAAGCCUGAUCCAGCCAUGCCGCGUGCGGGAAGAAGGCCUUCGGGUUGUAAACCGCUUUUGUCAGGGAAGAAAAGGUUCUGGCUAAUACCUGGGACUCAUGACGGUACCUGAAGAAUAAGCACCGGCUAACUACGUGCCAGCAGCCGCGGUAAUACGUAGGGUGCAAGCGUUAAUCGGAAUUACUGGGCGUAAAGCGUGCGCAGGCGGUUAUGCAAGACAGAGGUGAAAUCCCCGGGCUCAACCUGGGAACUGCCUUUGUGACUGCAUGGCUAGAGUACGGUAGAGGGGGAUGGAAUUCCGCGUGUAGCAGUGAAAUGCGUAGAUAUGCGGAGGAACACCGAUGGCGAAGGCAAUCCCCUGGACCUGUACUGACGCUCAUGCACGAAAGCGUGGGGAGCAAACAGGAUUAGAUACCCUAGUAGUCCCA